GCUUAGUCUUCUACCAGUCUAGUUCCUUCUUCCCAGAUAUAUUGUACGUGCCAACUUACAAUUCCACAAAAAGGUGUUCAGUUUCUGGACACUGAAUAGUCGAACGUGUCGUAGGGUGGGCAUGCAGCGAGUAAAUAGGGUCAAUCAAAUGGCGCCAAAAGCUCCGUCUUUGUUGUUUCUAACCAUGGAGGUACUGAAAACAGAGCUUCUUCGAGAGGAUGAUCUAGUACCAGUUAUUUGCCAGAUGCCGUUAGAAUUAUUUGAUAUUUUAUUGACUCACUUGCCUCCCUUGGGCUUGCAAAAGUUAAAAAGAGAAAUGCCAUUUGAUUACUGGAAUGACUAUGGGUCCACCUAUGAUUGUUCAGGAAAUGAGAAAAAACGUGGAAGAAUGUGGAAGUUCAAUACAGCUUGGAAAAUAUUAUUCAAGAAGCGAUGGCCACAGAUUGUCCAUCAUACUGAACCAAAUGACUGGGAGCAGAUGUACUGGGAAGCACAUUUGCAAAGUUGCCUAGAUGAAGCAGCAGAGGUAGCUGUACUCCCAUCUUUUGAUGGUUUUAUUGGUGACAUAAAGAUUUCAGGUGCUCUACUGAAACAUAUUGGUUAUGAAGAGCAAAUGAAUCAUUCAACUUGUGAAUAUUCCAUGUUAUAUCACCAUUGCCAGCAAUUUGGGUGCUAUACUAGAUCUCUAAGACUUCAAAAUGUGCUUUGUGUUGACGAGACUUGUAAUCAAGUACUUAUAUUUCAAUCUAAAGAAGUUACCAAUCUAUCCGUUCGUGCCUAUGUACAUGCAAAUCAUCAUGUAUAUAUGAGUUUUUCUGUGCUCUGUAUGCACUUUGUAUACAUAAUCUCUGAUUCUUAUUUCAUGCAGCAAUUAUUGAAAAACAGUGUGUUGCAAAGCUUGAUAAUAGUUUGGGUCAGAUCUAAAAGACAGGUGAACAGCUUAUCCAAGCUUAUAUCUCAAAAUCUUGAAACAUUAACAUCACUUGAGUUUCGUCACUGCAAGCUAUGUGCAUUUUUCGUUCAUUCAAUUUGUCGUGCUCUUUACGAUACGAGUUUGGGAACACAUAGGAUUCGGCACUUCUCAAUCACUGCAUCAAGCCUGAAUGAAAACAGCAUAAUCUCUCAUGAAAGCAGCUUAAGCUCCGUAACUCUGAAACUUAUUUCAUUUCUCUCUACUGGAAGGUCACUGCAUUCGUUGAAAUUCAGUGACAGCCAUCUGGACCAAUUUUUUGGAAGAUUACUUUUUAGAGACCUGGUUGAGGCUUCAUGUGGUUUGUCCAUCCUUGAUCUUUCUGGAAACAAUUUAACAGGAUGGCUCUCUAAGAUCAACCGGGGAUCCCCAAGUGAUUCCCUGUUUCCUCUACAAGCCAAGACUUUGCAAUCAUUACGUUUUCUCAAUCUGAGGGGAAAUAAUCUCCGGAAAGUUGACGCAGAGGAUCUUAGAUAUGCGCUGCUUAUUAUGCCUAAUUUGGAGAGCUUGGAUAUUAGUGACAAUCCCAUUGAGGAUGAUGGAAUCAGAAGUUUAAUUUCCUAUUUCAAUCAAGUAUCUGAAAAAUCCCAUCCCUUGGCUAAACUGAAUUUGGAAAAUUGCGACCUUUCCUGCGAUGGUGUGAUUGCACUUCUUGAUAUGCUUUCGAAGUUGAGAAAACCCCUGAAUUCUCUCUCUAUUGCUGAUAAUGUCCUUGGAAGUCAAGUAGCAUCUGCUUUGGCAAAAUUUUUGGACACAUCUAUUCAAGUACUAAAUAUUGGAGGAAUUGGACUGGGUUCAUCUGGCUUUCGGGCACUUGAAGCUGGAAUACAGGGGGAGUUGAAGCUUGUCAAUAUUGACAUAAGUAAAAAUCGGGGUGGGUUGGAAACUGCAAAGUUUUUGUCAAAGCUCAUGUCUUGUGCUUCAGAACUUGUUGAAGUUAAUGCUGGAUAUAAUCUGAUGCCUUCAGAAUCCUUGUCCAUCAUAUGCUCCACCCUAAAGGUCUCAAAAGGCCAUCUUCAGCGUGUGGACUUGAUGGGGAACAACUGGGAUCAUCAACCAGCUCAUGUUCACAUGGUUGCUGAAUUCCAGCAUAAAGGCCAGCCUAUUGUGAUACUCCCAUCACCGGGAGCCGCAGAUGUGCCUUAUGAUGGUGAUCCAUAGAUAGAUGGCAAUCAAAUUUGUACUGGAGCUGUGUUACAUAACAGUUCCCUUUUCUCACAAGGGCUGUUUUAUUAAUGCAACAAAAUUUUGCUGGACUUGGUCGAUUUUUCAGCACCCUUGGUAUCCUUAUUACAGAUAUUCAUUUGCAAGAAGGGCCUUUGUCCAAAUAUAUUAAACCAGUCAUGUUGGUCGUUGGCCAUUUCACCAGAUUCUCAGCGUUGUGCCAAGUGGUUUUAGCCUAUUCCCUAACCACCCAAUUCAGCCAACCUGUAAAGGAUUAUACUAUUCAUGAGAGUGCAAUGGGCAGUUUUUUCAUAAAUUAAUAAUUAGGAUGAAGCCAAAAAAGCAGUAGAGAAGUUCUAUUCAAUCUUUUCAUGACCAAAAAUGGCAGUUGGGUUGGCUUUGUCAUGAAGUUAGGCUUUUAUUGUUUAUGCUCAUCAGUCAUCCUCAUUUCAAGCUUAUCAACCCUACUGCAGGAAACUCAAUUAGCUAACAUUUAUAUGAUGAAUUGAAUGACCCAUGGAAACAAUUCUUCGCUCCAUUUAUUGGUACAACUUGUAAUCAAUGUCGAAUUUUUGGAGGCUAAUCUAUCAUUCGGUACCUUGAAUUCAGCUGCAUUAA